rnacentral:rRNA from 1 species
UACGAAGGGGGCUAGCGUUGCUCGGAAUCAUUGGGCGUAAAGCGCACGUAGGCGGCUUCGCAAGUCGGAUGUGAAAUCCCUAGGCUCAACCAAGGACGUGCAUCCGAAACUGCAGAGCUUGAGUACAGAAGAGGAUCGCGGAAUUCCCGGUGUAGAGGUGAAAUUCGUAGAUAUCGGGAGGAACACCAGUGGCGAAGGCGGCGAUCUGGGCUGAUACUGACGCUGAGGUGCGAAAGCGUGGGGAGCAAACAGG